rnacentral:rRNA from 1 species
CACCGCCCGUCACACCAUGGGAGUUGGCUUUACACGAAGGCGGUGCGCUAACCAGCAAUGGAGGCAGCCGACCACGGUAGGGUCAGCGACUGGGGUG